GCCCGCCGGGGGCUCGCGCCAGCCACGAGGGAGCGUCCGCGGCCCGCGCGCCCGCGCGGCGGAGGAGAGGUGUUAAGUGUGAUGCUUCCAUAAUACAUUUGGAUGCUGUCAGCUAAGUUCACUUCUGAACUAAGGGGUUCCUCCAAAUGUUGGCUGAAAUUCAUCCCAAGGCUGGUCUGCAAAGUCUGCAAUUCAUAAUGGAGCUACUGUACUGGCUAUUGGAAGGAGGAGAUUCUGAAGAUAAGGAGGUAAAACCUGUUUAGAAAUUAAAAAUGAGUUACGAUUUAAAGAAAAUUCAGAUGACUCAUUGUGAGUGCUAGUUCUCUUGUAGGAUGCCACUGGAAAUGUUGAAAUGAAAAAUAUUCAGCCGUUGGUCUUUGAAAUUUCCUGUGAUGUGUUUCAAUCUAGAUGCAAAGAACAUGGAAAAAUCAAAGUGCUCGAGUGGUUUAAAUAUGUUUUGGGUAUUCCUGUUUAUAGACUAUAAUACUUUUCCAAUUAAAAUCCUCAGUUGUCACGCAGAAGAAGGUUAAGCUGUAUUUGAUUGCCAGUUUUACUGAAAAUGCUUAGUAUUUUACAGUAUCACCAAAUAUAUUUUGUUUAGCCAAGGUAUAGGAAAAAUAAAAUAAAUUGUAUAGGUUGACUUUUUUCUAAAAUGUCUUUAUUGGAUUGAAUGAAUGUUUAUACCUGAAAAAAAAAGGUUCAAAAAAAUUCCUUUUUCUAUCAGAGUCAUUCUUUUGACAAUCAGAUAUUAGACUAGGUUUAAAAUAACUUUCUAAUAUGACUCAUAUUUAUGGGAGGAAAAAGACUUGAAAGAUAUUCCUAUGUGUACUUUAAUUUUCUGUAAUAGUCCCUCUGGAAUAGAAUAUCUCUUCCUCAAACAAAUCUAUUGGCUCAUUUCAUAUACAAGAAAAAGUUGCCCUAAAUGGCAGAGUUUCAUCUCUGUAAAGAAGGCUGACAUCCACUUCCUUCACAGAAUCCCUGCAUUUGGGUAAUUGAGUAAUGAUAGAUUACCUUGCCAUUGGGAAAUACCUUGUUGUGGCCUUUGUAGCAGCUAUAGGAAGAUGGAAGAAUUCUUUUGUAUAGACAGGUCUCUAGCCUCUUUGGUGUGGACACUGUGAAGGGGUACAUCUGGUGAGAAGGAGUGCUUAGGGAAGGAACUGGGAAGGUCCACAAAGGCUGAUGAUGACAAAGAAUCCAAGGGCUAUGAUGAAUUCUUAAGCUUAGAUCUCAGAGUCAUAAAGUAAAUUUAUUAGGCUAGAGAGAUUUCCUUUUUUAUUUUUGAUCAAACUUUAUUUUUUCAGAUUGUUAAGUUCACAUGCAGUUGUACAAAAUAAUACAGAGAUCUUUGAACACUACCCAGUUUCUCCUAAUAGUAACUUCUUGCAAUAUACUGUAUAGCACAGCAUCACAACCUGGAUACUGACAUUGAUGCAGUCAAGACAGAGAACAUUUAUAUCAUGAGGAGGAUCCCUCAUUACCGCCCUUUGAUAUCCACCCCUACUUCCAGACCAUCUCACUCCUCCCUUAACCCUGGCAACCACUAGCAUGUUCUCCAUUUCUAUAAAUUUGCCUUUAUAGGAAUGUUAUAUAAUUGCAAUUAAAG
rnacentral:lncRNA from 1 species